UUUUUUGUGUAGCGGACACGCCGCACAGAUUCAAAGUUCUCAGGAGUGUGGGGAACGGUCUUGCGACCUUGUAGUAAUGAUCCAUCCGCAGGUUCACCUACGGAUA
rnacentral:misc_RNA from 1 species